rnacentral:tRNA from 1 species
CCCCUGGUGGUCUAGUGGUUAGGACUCUACAUUUUCACCACUACAGCCCAGGUUCGAUCCCUGGUCAGGGAA